GUGGGGAAUAUUGGACAAUGGGCGAAACCCUGAUCUAGCCAUGCCGCGUGAUCGAUGAAGGCCUUAGGGUUGUAAAGAUCUUUCAGGUGGGAAGAUAAUGACUGUACCACCAGAAGAAGCCCCGGCUAACUCCGUGCCAGCAGCCGCGGUAAUACGGAGGGGGCUAGCGUUGUUCGGAAUUACUGGGCGUAAAGCGCACGUAGGCGGAUUGGAAAGUUGGGGGUGAAAUCCCGAGGCUCAACCCCGGAACUGCCUUCAAAACUCCCAGUCUUGAGUUCGAGAGAGGUGAGUGGAAUUCCGAGUGUAGAGGUGAAAUUCGUAGAUAUUCGGAGGAACACCAGUGGCGAAGGCGGCUCACUGGCUCGAUACUGACGCUGAGGUGCGAAAGCGUGGGGAGCAAACAGGAUUAGAAACCCGGGUAGUCC
rnacentral:rRNA from 1 species